rnacentral:lncRNA from 1 species
GUGGUCAAGAAUAUCAUGGGGGGACAGGAGUUCACCCUUCUGCUUAAGGCGGGAAAGCACUGAGGCAAUCUCCUUCUUAGAAGGAACAUUCUUCCUACAGUAUUCCUUACAGAACUGAAGCAGUACCUUAAUGACGUGUUCCAUGGCCUGUGUCUACCCCAGCCGUCCGUCUGGAGAAGUGUGUGCUGCUGUCUACCCCGGCCGUCCACAGUCGUCCUGUGGCAACUUCGUGGGAUAUGGUACACCGUCUACCCCGCCGGCAUGGACAACUGGACACAAUUCACUGCUGACUUUCUGGCACUGCAAAAAUUCAGUGUGCAAGAGCAGCAUUCUCAGAGGAGGAUGAUGCCUUCUGCCUUUGCGGGGAUGCUGAGAAAAAGGCAAGAUGUUGCCUCCAUUUAGAGAUGCCAGAGGUACUCAGGGAUUAGCUUGCUGAUAAAAAUCCAUAAUGUUUUGAGCAAGCUUCUCUCUAGUCUUGCAGAAGUUCCACAAUGUUUUCUGAGUUAGGUGUUUGAUCUCUGCUGCAAGAAAUCCAAGGUAUGUCAGAA